rnacentral:lncRNA from 1 species
GAAAAUUACGCCCGACAAAUGUUCAAAAUGGACAACCCUCUUAGUUACGAAAACGGUCCUAGUUCGAGAGAGUACAAGUAUAAAACCUACAUGCAGAUGAUCGCUCAUUGGGCGCAGUUGUAUCCAAACAAAGAAGCGUUUGUAGAAUAUGACGCAAAUGCAAAGAGACAUUCUAUAACCUGCAAAGAGUUGUUGGAGAAGAGUAAAUCUUUUGGGUGGUAUGUGGCCAGUAUUGGAAUCCAAAAAGGUGACGUUGUUGCGUUCUGCAUGAAAAACACCUUGAACAUGCUUAUUGCAAUGUUUGGUGUACAGUUUGCUGGAGGAAUACCUUUUUGAACUUUGCAAAGUAGAAAGUAGAGCGGACGGAACUGACGUUAUAGAUACGAUUCGUGACCAACAUUCCAAACUGCUGAUAAUGGACGCUAAACAAGGGAACAAAGCUGGGAUAUGCUAGAGAACAUACAGUCAUCUCAAAGUGCCGUUUCCCUUCUUGACGUCAUCUACAAUAACGAUUCCCUUGAACUUAUUCGUUUUAACAUUUAAAGAAAAAGAGAGUCAAGUUCUCAGUUUAACCAAUACACAGGAAGUAGCCCUUCCGAAUAUCUAUCCUGAAGAUUUAGUUGUGUAUUACAAAACAUCCGGCAGCACCGGUGAACCAAAACUGGUAGGGCAUACACAUAUUGGAUUUCCCGGUAGUACGUAUCUACUCAAGGACUAUUUUGAAAUAGACAGCCAGUCCAGAUAUUUUCUGUGACAGGCCGCUUGGGUGGGGUGGAGGGGCUCCAAAUAUGUUCAUCGCUUUUGGAGCAACUCGAGUAAUCGUUGACAGUUCAUUGUCAAUUCAGAAAAACAACAUAGGUAACAAAUUAUUUCAUUUCAUUUGAGAGGCUUAGUUUAGUCAGUUAACGUACUCAUUUUUAUUGAAAUUUAUUAAAGGUGAAUUUCAAUAGUGAUAAGUCAAAAUUAACAGAAGUAAAACAUUGUAAAUUAGCACUGGCCGAUAUCUACACGUUAUUUUAUAAGACGUUGAUCCGCUUCAGAUUUUCUGUCUGACAUCAUAUACCAAGAGAAGUGCACACACGUGUACCUACCUGGUUAUCUCGCCUCGGACCUUCUUGGAAGUCGUGGAAAUGAGGACCAAAUUUUCUACUGUCAAAGUUCUUAGUUAUAGCGCAGAAAGAUUCUCAAAGCGAUUUACAGAAUUGCUGGGCCGCUUUUGUAAGAAAUUGGGUCAUUUUUUAUGGGUCAGUAGAGUCAGCCGAAAUAUCAGCUUUUUCCUCCCAUAAUUCAGUAGAGUAUGAGGAUGGCAUUAUUGGGAAACCUUUACCAGGAAUUGAGAUGAAAGUUGUUGACGAACAUGGCAAUGUUGUGCCACGGGGACAGGUAGGAGAGCUGCAUGUCAGGAGCGUUUAUAGAUUCCUACAGUACAAAGAUAUGCGGGAAAAGUUUUUAGAUACAGUUGACAAAGGAAAUUGGUUUCACACUAGCGAUGUGGCGCAUAUACGAGCAGAUGGCAACUUUAUUUUACAUGGACGGACAAGCGAACGAAUGAAUGUCUGUUGGUACUGUGAAGAUCUUUCCUCAAGAAGCUCGAGAAAAUCUUAAUCAGUUGCUCGGAAGUAGAGGCCGUGGUAGUCGUACCGGUUCCUGACGAAAGAUUACACCAUGCCAUAUGCGCUUGCAUCGUGCUAUCGAAGAUAAAGCGUGUUGGAGUAAAGGAUAUGCACACAUAUUUCGACCAUUUAUGGACUGAAAUCGCUUUGAGAAAUUUCCGGAAAAUGCAAAUGGUAAAAUUGACAGGAAAAAAAUUGCAAUGAUAGCUGCAUCGCAUCUAAAUCUUUGUUGAAAAUGACAUAACAAGAAACAUACUUUUCAGAUCACAUGUAGAUAACGAUCAUUCUUGUCAGUUUGUCUUCUUCUUCCAAUACAUAUACGUAGGGAAAUUACACCUUACAUGGUCAGCUCUUUAUGUAAAAUGUGCUGACAAACAUGAAUGAAAUAUAAUAAUUAUGAUGUGUUCGACAUAUUUAAGGAUGUUUUAGUUCGUUUGAGUUUUGGAGAAAGCCUUCAACGUACUGCCGUUACUUGAUUGUCGUUGUCGGUGUCAAUGACGGCUUUGAUAAUUAUUAUUGUUUAUGUCCACUUUUUAUAAAAAAAAAAGUACUAUAACAGCUAUAGCUUUCGACUUAGCACACGUGUUUAUAAUCAUUAGGUAUGUAAGUAUGCCAAGAAGCAUAACUCUUGCAGAACGGUUCCAUUUUAUCAGAAAGGAUGGCAUUUGUUGCGGUGACACACACAAACGAACGACAAAUUGCAAUGUUAGUGUCUACGAUUACUCGUUUGCUCGGGUUGUAGACAAGAGAAAGGGCGACAACUACCGAUUUCUCGUGAUUGUAAACCAUUAAUCUCGUAAAAUACAUCAAUCUAUUUAGCGUGUAAUAUACAUGUAUUAAAAGGGACAAUAAAAUAUCUGACUUAUUUUCUUGACACCACGUUAUGUGU